ensembl:lncRNA
GUAGGUAAAGCUCUAUAAAAAUACAUUCAUUCAUAUAAAAUGAUCAAUUCUACAUGAUCAUUUUUUAAGGAAAAGAAUCUUUUAAACAUUCUUCUUUGUUUCAAGUCAAACUUGUGUUAAAGUGCAGCAAAAUCACUGUAUUUCUGAACAUGUUCACGUUUUUUUUCAUGACCCUUUCCAUCAACAUGUCAUGGUUUGAGCCAUCACAAUGAUAAACAUGUUUGAUCUGCCACUAUGAUGUGGUAAUGUAGAUCAUCUGACAGCAAUAUAAGGCAAGUCAAAUCUGAAUAUUUUGUAUAUGGAUACAUCAAAAAAACUGUAUUCACUUGUUUUAAGUGCAGAUUCAUUAUUUCUUAACAUGUUCUUCUGUUUCCUUGCAUGACUCUUUCCAACUACAUGCCCUGGUUUGAGCUGCUGCAAUAGUGAUUAUGGUAAAAAUAAUCAUGUGACAUCAUGAUAAAAACUGUAUUGUGUUUAAAUGCAACAUGAUUUUUUCUUUUAUUCUAGAAAACCUUGUAUUUUUGAACAUGUUCUUAUGUGUUUCUUUCUUUGCAUGACUCUUUCUAACUACAUGCCGAGGUUUGAGCCAUCACAAUGGCAAAGAUGGUAAUACAUCAAAAGCGGUGUGUAAAAGUGCAGCAUGAAAUUUGUAUUUUUAGAAAAUCACAGUAUUUCUGAACAUGUUACUCUGUUUCUUACCUUGCAUGUGUCUUUCCAACUACAUGUCAUGGUUUGAGCCAUCACAAUGACAAACAUGAUCGUCUGAUAGAAGAACAUGUUCAGGGCACUUAAAGGGACUUGAAGGGAUUCACUUUCCUCGUCACUGGAGCAGAGUGCUGGUGUCUUUAGGAAGCUCAGGAUGGGGAGGAUGUUUCAGACGUCAGAGCUACAGCAGACACCUGUCAUCUAUUGGACACUGUGUUCUUCCUCAGCAGCUUUGAAGCUUAUCUUUUGAAGUUCAGCCUUGAGCCUGUACGUUUCCAGCAAACAAGACUGCAGUGCAUUCUUCCGUUCUCCUUCCACCGCUCCUCUGCAUUGUUGCAAAACAUCUAGAGAGAUUAUGUAAAGUCUCUCUCAGGUCACAAGGACACAAGGCCACAUACAGCAUUGAAGUGAAUGUUAAGCUGCUACCACACUAUGAAGUGAACUCUACAGGCAGUCCAUACUACUCCAGGGAGACCAAAUAGCUUUGCUAAAUAAUUAUUUCACCAACAAUUUCAGGUCAUUUUCUAUCAAUUUCCUCAUUGCAGUUAUUUGAUUUAGUUUUUUUCAGGCUGUAUUAAGCCAGAUUUUUUUUAAUGGGCUCAUGUCAUUAGAAAUAACAUUUUCCUUGAUCUUUUGCGAUAAAAGAGCUUGAUAUGCUAUAAAAAUAAAAAAGAAAACAGUUUCUAAAUUGUUUUCAGAUAUUGAGCUAAUAAAGCACAAGAUAAGAUUGCAUUGUUUUCCGAUUUUAUUGCUGAUUUGAAAUAUUGUCAAAGCAUAAGCUUGACAGAUUUUUGUUGUUGUUGUCAUUUCCCAUUCACAUACACAGGAGUUGUACCUGCAUACUUUUUACCCACACAGAAAAUAGCUUACCAAGAUAGCUGCUAAUAAACAGACUUUUAAAUCAUACUUAAAGGAAUAGUUUACCCAAAAUGAAAAUUUGCUUAAAAUUGACUUACCCUCAAUCAGGUCAUCCAAUAUGUAGAUGAGUUUGUUUCUUCAUCUAAAAUGUUUUUGAAAAAUUUCACAUUUACAUCACUUGAUAAUCAAUGGAUCACUCUAAUGUACUUUAAGUGCUCUAUUUUUGUGCACUUUUUUAAUAUACUAAAAAUGAUUCUUUAGUACUUCUUAAGAUAAACUUAAGAUCAUCUAAGUGUACUCAAUUGUGCUAUUUUGGAAAUCCAUGAAUAUCAACUAAAAUCCAAUUUUAACAUAUUAUCUCUGUAUUUAAAAAAUCUAUUUACUCACCACUUGUAGUACACUUGAUUGUACUAGUGUAUGAAAGUGGUUCAAGUGUACACCAAGUGGUAACUAAAUACAUUUUUAAAAUUUUAAAUAUGUUUUUUUUUUUUCCUGGGUUGUAGUGAAUGGGUGCUGCCAGAAUGAGAGUUUAAACAGCUGAUAAAAAUGUCAUAAUAACCCACAACGACUUCAGUCCAUCAGUUCCUGUCUUGUAAAGUAAAAAGCUUUGUUUUUAAGAAACAAAUCCCUCAUUAAAACUUUUUAACUUUAAACUGUUGCUUCAGGCCAAAAUAUGAGUCUGUAUGCAUAAAAACGCUAUCUUCAGUUGAAAAGUCCAGCACUGGUCCAUCAAUUUCUCCACAUCUGUUCUGAAGAAGAACCAAACUAAUCUAAAUCUUGGAUAGCCUGAGGUUGAAUAAAUUUGCAGGAAAAUUAAAUUUUUUGGUGAACUGUUCCUUUAAUGCAGUGAUCCUCAAAUCUAAGCUCUCAGGAUCCACUUUCCUGCAGAGUUUAACUCCAACCCUAAUUAAACAAUCCUACCUGUGAUUUUCUAAUGAUCCUGAAGACAUUGACUAGCAAACUCAGGUGUGUUUGAUUAGGGUUAGAGCUAAACUCUGCAGGAAAGUGGAUCUCACGAGCCAGAUUUGAGGAUCACUGCUUUAAUGGAAUAUGGUAACUAAAAACAACAGUAUGACUUUCCUGUUAUGACCCCUUUAAAACUUGAAAAUGCAUUCUGUCAUCAUGCUGACAGAAAUGUCUGCUGACCUUUGGGUUUGACGAGUUGCAACACAGCCAGCACUUCACUUGCCUCUUAUUGCUUGUGCAGCUCAAUUAACAUGCCCUGGCUAUGAAAUAUGCAUAAACUCCUUUAAUCUAUAAUUAAUAACAGUACAUAUUCACAUGAUCUGCUAUGCAUAUCUACUUUUCUGCGUAUGUACUGGGUUCCUGGCGUACACAAACUAUACGUCAAUGAACUGCCAGCAAUUAGCAGAUACUUCUGAUGAAAAAUGUGCACCAAACGCUUUGAUGAACUGAAUUUGUUAGACAAACUGAUUAUGCAACAGUUGUGUUCCCUGUGUAUUUGAAUGUCUCAUUUCUUAUUUUCAGUUUCCUCUUCAUUUUUCUAACUCACAAUAUUCAAAGGCCUGAGAACUACCUAUUUCAAAAACCUGUUUUUAUCAAAGACUCUGACAAUUAGAGAAAACUGUGGUGAGGGAUUGGUAGAAAAAGUGGUUAAUGAAUUGUACUGAAUUGAAUUUCAUUUGUUUACAUUUUGCUGCAAAGCCUAUAAUAGGUUCUUUAAUGGCAGGUUCCAUUGUGACAGCGUGACCCCAUAUUGGUCAAGGUGUGUUAUGUAAACUCUAUAUUUUUUCCUGAGCGCAAUACCCUAAGAUGUUUUUGAAUAGUUUUUGUAACAUGAAAUUGUAUAGCAUAUAUGUGAUUAAUUGGUAUAAUAAUAAUAAUCACAUUUUGCAUUUAACUGUAUUACAUUGCUAAUUAUUAAUUCUUACCAUGUUAAAAUUGAUAGUAAUAUUUAUUGUAACGUCAGUAUUUAUACAUAUAAACAAAAAUACCUAACCAUAUUUGUUUGUAAUACGCUGCUUUGGUACACAAGAAAUAUUUAUUAUUAGCAUCUUAUUAUUAUCAAUAUUUUUGUGGAAACUGUACAUACUUUUAUUUUCAGGAUUCCUUGAUGCAUGGAAAGUUCAAAAGAACAGCAUUUUCUUAAAAUAAUUUUUGUAACAGUAUAAAAGUCAUUAAAAGCCUUUAUUAAUGCUGAAUAAAAGUAUUAAUUUCUUUUUAAGGUAUCUUACUGAUUUAUAUGUAUAUAUAUAUAUAUAUAGAGAGAGAGAGAGAGAGAGAGAGAGAGCGAGAGAGAGAAACAGAGACAGAGUAUAUAGUAUAAUGAUAAAGUAAAAUGAUCAAAUAAAAUAAGUAUAUAUGCAAAAUAUAACAAAAUAUAUUUUUUAAAUGUAUUAUACUUAUAUACUGCUACCUUUAAAUGGACUAUAAUGGACACAGAUGAUGUUCCCUGGAUGCACAAAACAAAAAUCAUAAAGGCAAAAGUGUUUAAUUUGUUCUACAGAAUAACCUUCUGUUUCUUAUUUCUCCUCUAUUUUGCUGCAGCUAUUCAGACAGAAUUAAAUACUAAGACAAAAGUGACAUUGACAGUGUCUCUCUCUUCUUCUUUUCUGUCUUAUUCUUUCUUUGGCUGUCUCCAUUUGCGCUGUGUUUAUAAAAUCUCUUCAAUAGAGUUUUUGUGCCCCGGGCUCGUUUUUUUUGCUCAAAGCUGAUAUAUUGCAGAGUUGUGCACAAUACACCUGAGAUAAGCAUAGGAUGCAGCUGCACUUUUCUGUUUCUUCUUGACACAGAGGUAGUCAUAGAAACUCUUCACACUUACUUCAGAGGGCUGCUUACUAGCAGCUGUGAAAACUCUGUAAAUCUUCAUUAUUAAUCCAACUUUAUUUACCAUUUGCAACUUCUAAUACAACAGACCAAAGGAUCAAGUAUCAUUGUAGAUGCUCUGUGUUUUUUUUUUUUCUCCAAUUCAGCCCACAAAAAUGCAUUCAUUCUUUUGAUUAGGGUGGGUGUGAUGACUUAACGUCGCUCUUAGGCAUUCAUAUGCUACCUAAAGGCCGUUGUUGGUGGUGCUUAGUUUAUUGUUUAUCGCCCAUGAAUCAGCUUUAUUGUGCAGAGCUCAUCUCAAAACGCUUAACUGUGCUAUGUUGUCAAUAAAUUUGGAUUGCUA